rnacentral:rRNA from 1 species
UACGGAGGAUCCAAGCGUUAUCCGGAUUCAUUGGGUUUAAAGGGUGCGUAGGUGGAAUGGUAAGUCAGUGGUGAAAUCCUGCGGCUUAACUGCAGAACUGCCAUUGAUACUGCCAAUCUUGAGUACAUAUGAAGUGGGCGGAAUGUGUCAUGUAGCGGUGAAAUGCUUAGAUAUGACACAGAACACCGAUUGCGAAGGCAGCUCACUAAACUGUAACUGACACUGAGGCACGAAAGCGUGGGGAUCAAAC